rnacentral:rRNA from 1 species
UACAGAGGUCCCAAGCGUUGUUCGGAUUCACUGGGCGUAAAGGGUGCGUAGGCGGUCGGAUAAGUCUGAUGUGAAAUCUUCGAGCUCAACUCGGAAACUGCAUCGGAAACUAUUCGGCUAGAGGAUUGGAGGGGAGACUGGAAUUCUCGGUGUAGCAGUGAAAUGCGUAGAUAUCGAGAGGAACACCAGUGGCGAAGGCGAGUCUCUGGACAAUUCCUGACGCUGAGGCACGAAAGCUAGGGGAGCAAACAGG